UUUAGGGACUAUCACUGGUGGGAUUUCAGAGUGAUGGUUGCAGUAUUUGCAAUUGAAUGAGCUGUCUCUUUGAGUUGCAGUCGCUUCAUUCUUAAAUCUGAUUCAAAACCCGUGGUGAAUGCUUGUUUUUGGACCUUUUUUGAAAUGAUACUCAUUUGUCGACAAAUUUUUUAAUGAUGAUGCUGUACAGGAGUUUGGCAACAUGAACGUGUUGAGAUAAAUGCUAAUGAGAACGUGUUGAGAUUAAUGCUAAUGAUCAAUGGAAUAGGACUACACCAUCAUAGAAAAGAUGUACCAACAGGUUGCUGGUCCUAUGUGGGUGCUGCUUCUGGUGGGAUGGAUGUCGAUGCUCAUGCACCAAGAGCUUUUGGUAUUGGACCUAAGAUUGAGGAAGUCCACUAAAGUGGUUUUAUAAAAUUCUUGAUUUUAGUGGACUUUAUUUGCAUCCUUCUUCAUUUCACAUUUCAUAUUUUCUGCAAACUUCAUUUUAGUUA